AUGCAAAUUUUCCUGAAAAACAACUUGGAAUUGGAAUUUGACAUGAGGAUGACAAGCGAAACACAACAUCCUGGCAGGUUUAAGGAUGGGAUCAGUGGGAAGAGCAUGCACCACUCAUGUUCUGGGCUUAAUGUCACCAUGGACAAAAGAACUCCCUUAGAGGCUCCUACCCAUUCAGCAGAGCUUGCCAAGAAAUGCAGCAAUAUUACAGAAUAAAUCAUGAGUGUAUUUGGUCAUUGCUUUUCUGCAGUACCUUGAAUGAACCUUUGGAAAAAUUAAUCACUGUGAUAGGUUAAUAUUUGUAUAGAUUUUUUUUUUCUUUUUUUUUUCUUUUCUUUUCUUUUUUCUCUGUGAUCGUAUCAAAUGCUUUGGAAUGAUUUAGAGUGGAACAAACUAACUAAUUACGAUGUUCUGAUGCUUGUGUCGUUGUUUUCCCUCCAAAAAGUGACGUCUCUUCCUGGAAAAUGGAUGCCAUUAAAGUCACCUUUAUUUAUAUAGUGCUUUAAACAAAACAGAUUGUGUCAAAGCAACUGAACAACAUUAAUUAGGAAAACAGUGUGUCAAUAAUGCAAAAAGGAAUAGUACACUCAAAAAUGAAAAACUGCUGAAAGCGUGUUCACCCUCAGGCCAUCUGAUAUGUAGAUGAGUUUGUUUCUUCAUGGGAACAGAUUUGGAGAAAUUUAGUAUUACAUUUCUUGCUCACCAAUGGAACCUCUGCAGUGAAUGGUUGCUGUCAGAAUGAGAGUCAAAACAGCUGAUAAAAACAUCACAAUAAUCCACGAGUACCUUAUAAACAGUGCUUGAUCUGUACAUAUUUCUCUCCUGAUUCAAUGUAAUGAUAAAUUUCACCAAAUUUGUUCUGAUUAAGAAACAAACUUUUAAAUUUUCAGCAACUUUUUUUUUUCCUUUAAUGAACUAAAAUGAUUUUAUGAAAUUCAAAGAUGAUGGAAAGUGCAUAUUAAUCUUUACAUUAAUGAAAAACUAUAUUCCCUUGCUUUGUUUGAAAUAUUUUGAUUGAAUAAAGGAAAAAUGAGACAGAGAGACA
ensembl:lncRNA